ACUCUUGUAGACGCUCUUAAAAUCUCGCCGGGUCCCUUUCCUCGCCGGCAAUCCUCUCCUCCCCCCUCCGCGCUCUGCCAUCGCCGCCCCCAAAUCCCUUCUCAGCCGCCGCCGCCGCCGCCCCCAGGCCAGCCACCAUGAUGCACAUGACCUUCUACUGGGGCACGUCCGCCACGAUCCUCUUCGACGGCUGGCGCACGUCCACGUGGCUCGGCUACCUCCUCUCCCUCGCGGCCCUGCUCCUCGCCGCCGCUUUCUACCAGUACCUCGAGGCGCUCCGGAUCCGCUUCAAGCUCGUCUCGGGAGGGGGCGCCGCCGCCAGCAAGCAGGCCCCCUCCAUCCCGCCGCCCGCCGGCUCCGACCCGUCGCGGGCGCCGCUCCUCGCGCCCGCCCUCGCCGCCGCCGGGCGCUGGCCGGCGCGGGCCGCCGUAGCCGCCAUGUUCGGGGUCAACUCCGCCCUGGGCUACCUCAUCAUGCUCUCCGUCAUGUCGUUCAACGGCGGCGUGUUCAUCGCCGUCGUCCUGGGCCUCGCGCUCGGGUACCUCGCCUUCCGCAGCAGCGACGGGGAGGAUCUCGUCGUCGUCGACACCCCCUGCGCCUGCGCGUGAGGGCUGUACGGGACGGGGUCGCCGGCUUGCUCCCCCAGGUUCGUUAUAGAUUGCCAAGAAUCGGCAGGGGAGAUGACUUGUUACCGCUCUAUGCCGUAUGCUGCUGUAUGGAUUCUGCUUGUCGGAUAGAACUACCACUUGUCCUCCAUUUGAUUCUCUCGUUGGCUUGCUCAAAGAUAUUUUCUGGUUGAGGGGACUUCUGCAUGAGGGUGAUGUGAAGCUUUCCUUGCAAAAUGAGGUCAACACAAGUCGUGUCAGUGUUUUUUUAGAAAAAAACAGAGUUAAUUUAAUAGGGAUUUGUUUUCGCUGGUAGGUCUGUUUUGUUACAUUAUCUAAAAAAAGGUCUGUUUUGUUAAAGCUCACUGGUGCUGACACGAUUUUCUCCCAGCGUCUGUGAAUUGCUCAGCCCGAGUUGCAGCCUCUGCGGCUCUGCGUGCUCCGUAGUUCAGAGUCCAGAUGCUUUUUAUAAAUAAAAAAAUCCAGAGUUCAGAUGCA